rnacentral:ncRNA from 1 species
UUAAAAACUGAGAAAAGGAAAAGUAUUUAAGAUGUAUACUUUAAAGAGAGUGGUGUUUGGUGAAAAUCCAUAGGUUAAGUCUUAAAGAAAAUCACCUUGGAGUUGAAUGCUGAAAUAAUAGUAAGCUUAUCCGUAAUCCUGCGUUAAAGGAUAGAGCAUAGUUGUGCUUGAAUAUUUUAUACCAUAGGUGGUAAAGCGAAGACAUAUAACUUCGCCCUAAUA